AUUGAACGCUGGCGGCAGGCCUAACACAUGCAAGUCGAACGGUAGCACAGAGAGCUUGCUCUCGGGUGACGAGUGGCGGACGGGUGAGUAAUGUCUGGGAAACUGCCCGAUGGAGGGGGAUAACUACUGGAAACGGUAGCUAAUACCGCAUAACGUCGCAAGACCAAAGUGGGGGACCUUCGGGCCUCACACCAUCGGAUGUGCCCAGAUGGGAUUAGCUAGUAGGUGGGGUAAUGGCUCACCUAGGCGACGAUCCCUAGCUGGUCUGAGAGGAUGACCAGCCACACUGGAACUGAGACACGGCCCAGACUCCUACGGGAGGCAGCAGUGGGGAAUAUUGCACAAUGGGCGCAAGCCUGAUGCAGCCAUGCCGCGUGUAUGAAGAAGGCCUUCGGGUUGUAAAGUACUUUCAGCGGGAGGAAGGCGGUGAAGUUAAUAGCUUCACCGAUUGACGUUACCCGCAGAAGAAGCACCGGCUAACUCCGUGCCAGCCGCCGCAGUAA
rnacentral:rRNA from 1 species